GACACUACCCUCUCUCUCACUCGGUCUCUCUCUUCCCUCUCGCUCAUCUCGCCCUCUCUCUCACUUUGUCUCGCUCUUCUCUCCCACUCCGUUAGACGAAGACAAAGACGAAGGAAGACCCAGCCACUACACACUCAUCUGCUCCUCCUCCGCUCCACCCUCCGUUGGAAUUCCUCUCCGUUUCUCAAUUCCGAAGGAGGAAGCUUUGGGUGUGGAUAAGUUGCGGCAUCGGCGGCUUGCAAAUUUGUUUGUGUAUUGCUGUGAUGGGGAUGAGAGGCUGCUUGUUGCUGAGUACAUGGCUACUGAUACUUUGGCUAAGCAUUUGUUCCACUGGGAGAAUCAAACCAUUGAGUAGGCCAUGCGUUUAAGAGUGGCUCUUUAUAUUGCUGAAGCUUUAGAUUAUUGCAGUACUGAGGGCGCCCGUUAUACCACAAUUUGAAUGCUUAUAGGGUUCUCUUUGACGAGGAUGGUGAUCCUUGUCUUUCAUGUUUUGGCUUGAUGAGAAAUAUUAGGGAUGGGAAGAGUUACAGCACAAAUCUUGCUUACACGCCACCUAAAUAUUUAAGAAAUGGAAGGGUCACUCCAGAAAGUGUUGUUUAUAGCUUUGGCACCGUCCUUCUAGAUCUGCUUAGUGGGAAGCACAUCCCUCCAAGUCAUCUUGUGUAUAUAAGGACAUGUCAUUGCCCUGACGGAGGAAGUGGAAUCCCUAAAAGAUAAGAUUGUUGCCCAAGAAGCAGCAUGGGAUGCUCGGGAAGCCCAGAUUG